rnacentral:tRNA from 1 species
GUGCCCGUAGCUCAGCAGGAUAGAGCAACAGUUUCCUAAACUGUAGGUCGGAGGUUCGAAUCCUCUCGGGCACGCCA